rnacentral:lncRNA from 10 species
CGCGCACGGCGUCAGCGUCUAGACGCAGGCUUGCAGCGGGCGGUGUCGUUCACGCUCCUGAGCAGAGCCUUCCGGUGCUUUACUCGACGCCACAAAUAGUGCAGGGUUCCUCCCAGGGGCUGUCGCGAGCUAGAACUCUUCCCCGCCCCUGUGAGCUCGGGCUGUUCUUCCUCCUCCGCGUGGCUCACUCCAGCCUCGGAUGUUUCCUCGCUGCACAGACCUGCUCGGGAAGACUCGAGAAGGCCACCCCAGGACUCCAGCUCUCCCCGGAAGGGCUUCCCCUCGGAUUGCGUCUUGGCCCCUGGAACCCUCCCUCUGUAUCCUCUGCUGUUCCUCUCUUGGCCUCCAUUUGGGUUGUGGCCUGGAUACUCUGGCUCGCUGCUUCCCUUCUCUUAAGGAUCACAGCCCUGCACUGCCUGUCGUCCGGUGCCUGGAAACCAUUGUAUUUUUUGGUCUGAUUUUGUAGUUGUUUGAGAACUUAAGUCUGGUCCCUCACACUCCAUGCCCAGAAGCAGAAAUGAGUAAAGUUUGUUUUAUCUUUUCUU